rnacentral:rRNA from 1 species
AUUGAACGCUGGCGGCAGGCUUAACACAUGCAAGUCGAACGAGUGGCGGACGGGUGAGUAAUGCUUGGGAAUCUAGCUUAUGGAGGGGGAUAACUACGGGAAACUGUAGCUAAUACCGCGUACCAUAGGAUGAGCCCAAGUGGGAUUAGGUAGUUGGUGAGGUAAAGGCUCACCAAGCCGACGAUCUCUAGCUGGUCUGAGAGGAUGACCAGCCACACUGGGACUGAGCGAGGGCCCAGACUCCUACGGGAGGCAGCAGUGGGGAAUAUUGCACAAUGGGGGCAAGCCUGAUGCAGCCAUCCCGCGUGUAUGAUGAAGGCCUUCGGGUUGUAAAGUACUUUCGGCGGGGAGGCGUUACCCGCAGAAUAAGCACCGGCUAACUCCGUGCCAGCAGCCGCGGUAAUAC